GAGUUUGAUCCUGGCUCAGGACGAACGCUGGCGGCGUGCCUAAUACAUGCAAGUCGAGCGAGCGGAACCAACAGAUUUACUUCGGUAAUGACGUUGGGAAAGCGAGCGGCGGAUGGGUGAGUAACACGUGGGGAACCUGCCCCUAAGUCUGGGAUACCAUUUGGAAACAGGUGCUAAUACCGGAUAAUAAAGCAGAUCGCAUGAUCAGCUUUUGAAAGGCGGCGUAAGCUGUCGCUAAGGGAUGGCCCCGCGGUGCAUUAGCUAGUUGGUAAGGUAACGGCUUACCAAGGCGACGAUGCAUAGCCGAGUUGAGAGACUGAUCGGCCACAUUGGGACUGAGACACGGCCCAAACUCCUACGGGAGGCAGCAGUAGGGAAUCUUCCACAAUGGACGCAAGUCUGAUGGAGCAACGCCGCGUGAGUGAAGAAGGUUUUCGGAUCGUAAAGCUCUGUUGUUGGUGAAGAAGGAUAGAGGUAGUAACUGGCCUUUAUUUGACGGUAAUCAACCAGAAAGUCACGGCUAACUACGUGCCAGCAGCCGCGGUAAUACGUAGGUGGCAAGCGUUGUCCGGAUUUAUUGGGCGUAAAGCGAGCGCAGGCGGAAAAAUAAGUCUAAUGUGAAAGCCCUCGGCUUAACCGAGGAACUGCAUCGGAAACUGUUUUUCUUGAGUGCAGAAGAGGAGAGUGGAACUCCAUGUGUAGCGGUGAAAUGCGUA
rnacentral:rRNA from 1 species